UACAGAGGGUGCAAGCGUUGUUCGGAAUUAUUGGGCGUAAAGCGCGUGUAGGCGGCCUUGCAAGUCGGGUGUGAAAGCCCUCAGCUCAACUGAGGAAGCGCGCCCGAAACUGCAGAGCUUGAGUACCGGAGAGGAUGGCGGAAUUCCCCAAGUAGAGGUGAAAUUCGUAGAUAUGGGGAGGAACACCGGUGGCGAAGGCGGCCAUCUGGACGGAUACUGACGCUGAGACGCGAAAGCGUGGGGAGCGAACAGG
rnacentral:rRNA from 1 species